AACGAACGCUGGCGGCAUGCCUAACACAUGCAAGCCGAACGGGAUCCUAGCUUGCUAGGUGAGAGUGGCGGACGGGUGAGUAACACGUGGGAAUCUGCCUUUUGGUUCGGGAUAACCGCGGGAAACUGCGGCUAAUACCGAAUGCCCUCGAGAGAGGAAAGAUUUAUCGCCAGAAGAGGAGCCCGCGUCCGAUUAGGUAGUUGGUGGGGUAAAGGCCUACCAAGCCGACGAUCGGUAGCUGGUCUGAGAGGAUGAUCAGCCACACUGGGACUGAGAUACGGCCCAGACUCCUACGGGAGGCAGCAGUGGGGAAUAUUGGACAAUGGGGGCAACCCUGAUCCAGCAAUGCCGCGUGAGUGAUGAAGGCCUUAGGGUUGUAAACUGCUUUUAUACAAGAGAAAACCCUGGUACGUGUACCAGGUUGAUAGUAUUGUAAGAAUAAGCAUCGGCUAACUUCGUGCCAGCAGCCGCGGUAAU
rnacentral:rRNA from 1 species